rnacentral:rRNA from 1 species
GAUGAACGCUGGCGGCGUGCCUCAAACAUGCAAGUCGAGCGGGGCUAUGUAAUAUCGCAAGGUAGAACAUAGCCUAGCGGCGAACGGGUGAGUAACACGUGGGUAACCUGCCUGGAAGACAGGGAUAACGAUUCGAAAGGGUCGCUAAUACCUGAUAAUAUCCUUUCAUCGCAUGGUGAUAGGAAGAAAGGGGAAACCCGCUUUCAGAUGGGCCCGCGUCCCAUCAGCUAGUUGGUAAGGUAAAGGCUUACCAAGGCGACGACGGGUAGCCGGUCUGAGAGGAUGUACGGCCACACUGGGACUGAGAUACGGCCCAGACUCCUACGGGAGGCAGCAGUUGGGAAUCUUAGGCAAUGGACGAAAGUCUGACCUAGCGACGCCGCGUGAGGGAAGAAGGCCUUCGGGUUGUAAACCUCUGUCAUGGGGAAGGAAGUAAGUGACGGUACCCCGAACGAGGAAGCCCCUCGCUAACUACGUGCCAGCAGCCGCGGUAAAAGUACGUCUAU